AUUGAACGCUGGCGGCAUGCCUUACACAUGCAAGUCGAACGGUAACAGGUCUUCGGAUGCUGACGAGUGGCGAACGGGUGAGUAAUGCAUCGGAACGUGCCCAGUAGUGGGGGAUAGCCCGGCGAAAGCCGGAUUAAUACCGCAUACGACCUGAGGGUGAAAGGGGGGGAUCGCAAGACCUCUCGCUAUUGUAGCGGCCGAUGUCAGAUUAGCUAGUUGGUGGGGUAAAGGCCUACCAAGGCAACGAUCUGUAGUUGGUCUGAGAGGACGACCAGCCACACUGGGACUGAGACACGGCCCAGACUCCUACGGGAGGCAGCAGUGGGGAAUUUUGGACAAUGGGCGCAAGCCUGAUCCAGCAAUGCCGCGUGCAGGAAGAAGGCCUUCGGGUUGUAAACUGCUUUUGUCAGGGAAGAAACGAGUUUCUCUAAUACAGAGACUUAAUGACGGUACCUGAAGAAUAAGCACCGGCUAACUACGUGCCAGCCGCCGCAGUAAAAC
rnacentral:rRNA from 1 species